rnacentral:rRNA from 1 species
GACGAACGCUGGCGGCGUGCCUAAUACAUGCAAGUCGAACGCUUCUUUCCUCCCGAGUGCUUGCACUCAAUUGGAAAGAGGAGUGGCGGACGGGUGAGUAACACGUGGGUAACCUACCCAUCAGAGGGGGAUAACACUUGGAAACAGGUGCUAAUACCGCAUAACAGUUUAUGCCGCAUGGCAUAAGAGUGAAAGGCGCUUUCGGGUGUCGCUGAUGGAUGGACCCGCGGUGCAUUAGCUAGUUGGUGAGGUAACGGCUCACCAAGGCCACGAUGCAUAGCCGACCUGAGAGGGUGGUCGGCCACACUGGGACGGAGACACGGCCAAGACUCCUACGGGAGGCAGCAGUAGGGAAUCUUCGGCAAUGGACGAAAGUCUGACCGAGCAACGCCGCGUGAGUGACGAAGGUGUUCGGAUCGUAAAACUCUGUUGUUAGAGAAGAACAAGGACGUUAGUAACUGAACGUCCCCUGACGGUAUCUAACCAGAAAGCCACGGCUAACUACGUG